rnacentral:rRNA from 1 species
GAUGAACGCUAGCUACAGGCUUAACACAUGCAAGUCGAGGGACCGGCGCACGGGUGAGUAACACGUAUCCAACCUACCCUUUACUCGGGGAUAGCCUUUCGAAAGAAAGAUUAAUACCCGCUAUAAAUGAUGGUGAUGCGUUCCAUUAGGUUGUUGGUGAGGUACCGUCCCCCCAAGCCUUCGAUGGAUAGGGGUUCUGAGAGGAAGGUCCCCCACAUUGGAACUGAGACACGAUCCAAACUCCUACGGGAGGCAGCAGUGAGGAAUAUUGGUCAAUGGGCGCUAGCCUGAACCAGCCAAGUAGCGUGAAGGAUGAAGGCUUAUGGGUCGUAAACUUCUUUUAUAUAAGAAUAUGUAUUAUAUGAAUAAGGAUCGGCUAACUCCGGGCCAGCAGCCGCGGUAAUUC